CCUACGGGAGGCAGCAGUGGGGAAUUUUGGACAAUGGGCGAAAGCCUGAUCCAGCAAUGCCGCGUGAGUGAAGAAGGCCUUCGGGUUGUAAAGCUCUUUUGUCAGGGAAGAAACGGUGAGAGCUAAUAUCUCUUGCUAAUGACGGUACCUGAAGAAUAAGCACCGGCUAACUACGUGCCAGCAGCCGCGGUAAUACGUAGGGUGCAAGCGUUAAUCGGAAUUACUGGGCGUAAAGCGUGCGCAGGCGGUUUUGUAAGUCUGAUGUGAAAUCCCCGGGCUCAACCUGGGAAUUGCAUUGGAGACUGCAAGGCUAGAAUCUGGCAGAGGGGGGUAGAAUUCCACGUGUAGCAGUGAAAUGCGUAGAUAUGUGGAGGAACACCGAUGGCGAAGGCAGCCCCCUGGGUCAAGAUUGACGCUCAUGCACGAAAGCGUGGGGAGCAAACAGGAUUAGAUACCCUGGUAGUCCACGCCCUAAACGAUGUCUACUAGUUGUCGGGUCUUAAUUGACUUGGUAACGCAGCUAACGCGUGAAGUAGACCGCCUGGGGAGUACGGUCGCAAGNUUAAAACGUCAAAUGAAUUGACGGNUGAGAGNGCGAGGACGACGACGAGGGAGAGG
rnacentral:rRNA from 1 species